ACCUGGUUGAUCCUGCCAGUAGUCAUAUGCUUGUCUCAAAGAUUAAGCCAUGCAAGUCUAAGUAUAUGCAUUCAUUCGCAACGACUGUAGAUGGCUCAUUAAAACAGUUAUAGUUUAUUUGAUGGUCAACUUCUACAUGGAUAACCGUAGAAAUUCUAGAGCUAAUACAUGCGUCAACACUUGUCGUGAGAUAAGUGGUAUUUAUUAGAUAAAUAUACCAAUUUCUUCGGGGAUGCAGGUGAUUCACAAUAACUUCUCGGAUCGUAUGCCUUUGUGCGACGACAGAUCAUUCAAAUUUCUGCCCCAUCAGCUUUCGAUGGUAGGGUAGUGGCCUACCAUGGCGGUAACGGGUAACGGAGAAUUAGGGUUCGAUUCCGGAGAGGGAGCCUGAGAAACGGCUACCACAUCCAAGGAAGGCAGCAGGCGCGCAAAUUACCCAAUCCUGACUCAGGGAGGUAGUGACAAGACAUAUCAAUGGACUGCGCUCAGCGGGUCAAAUUGAAAUGAGUGCGUUUAAAACAAUUAACGAUUAACAAUUGGAGGGCAAGUCUGGUGCCAGCAGCCGCGGUAAUUCCAGCUCCAAUAGCGUAUACUAAAUUUGUUGCAGUUAAAAAGCUCGUAGUUGGAUUUCUGGUUGGUGCGGCAAGUUGGUCUUAUUGACUUUACGCGUCGUGCUGGUCAUCCUGGGAAGUAGAAGUGUGGGUAUUCAUUUAUUCACUCUAUCAAUUCCCUCGUUUACUUUGAGAAAAUUAGAGUGUUCAAAGCAGGCUUAUGCUUGAAUACAUUAGCAUGGAAUAAUCUUAUAGGACUUCGAGCCUAUUUUGUUGGUUUCUAGGAUUGAAGUAAUGAUUGAUAGGAACGGUUGGGGGCAUCAGUAUUUCAAAGCGAGAGGUGAAAUUCUUGGACCUUUGGAAGACUAACAACUGCGAAAGCAUUUGCCUAGGACGUUUUCUUUAAUCAAGAACGAAAGUUAAGGGAUCGAAGACGAUCAGAUACCGUCGUAGUCUUAACUAUAAACUAUGCCAGCUAGGGAUUGGGAGCUAUCUUCCUUGAUGCUCUCAGCACCUUAUGAGAAAUCAAAGCAUUUGGGUUCCGGGGGGAGUAUGGUCGCAAGGCUGAAACUUAAAGGAAUUGACGGGAGGGCACCACCAGGAGUGGAGCCUGUGGCUUAAUUUGACUCAACACGGGAAAACUUACCAGGUCCGGACGUAGUAAGGAUUGACAGACUGAAGGUCUUUCUUGAUUCUAUGGGUGGUGGUGCAUGGCCGUUCUUAGUUGGUGGAGUGAUUUGUCUGGUUAAUUCCGUUAACGAACGAGACCCCAGCCUGCUAAUUAGUGUGAGGAACCCCGGUUCGAUCAUUCUUCUUAGAGGGACAAGUGUGUGUAUAACCACAGGAAGUUUGGGGCAAUAACAGGUCUGUGAUGCCCUUAGAUGUUCUGGGCCGCACACGGGCUACACUGCAGACUACAACGAGCUUAAACCUUGUUCGAGAGGACCGGGUAAUCUUCUGAGAAGUCUGCGUGAUUGGGAUAGACUAUUGCAAUUAUUAGUCUUCAACGAGGAAUUCCUAGUAAACGCAAGUCAUCAGCUUGCAUUGAUUACGUCCCUGCCCUUUGUACACACCGCCCGUCGCUCCUACCGAUUGGAUGUAUCAGUGAGCUGUCGGGAUUGCUAUCAGAAACUCUUCCGGGAGUGGACGUUCGCGAGAACUUCCGCAAACUUAUUCAUCUAGAGGAAGGAGAAGUCGUAACAAGGUUUCCGUAGGUGAACCUGCRGAAGGAUCA
rnacentral:rRNA from 1 species